rnacentral:rRNA from 1 species
UACGUAGGGUGCAGGCGUUAAUCGGAAUUACUGGGCGUAAAGCGUGCGCAGGCGGUUUGCUAAGACAGGUGUGAAAUCCCCGGGCUUAACCUGGGAACUGCGCUUGUUACUGGCAGGCUUGAGUGUGGCAGAGGGGGGUAGAAUUCCACGUGUAGCAGUGAAAUGCGUAGAGAUGUGGAGGAAUACCGAUGGCGAAGGCAGCCCCCUGGGAUAACACUGACGCUCAUGCACGAAAGCGUGGGGAGCAAACAGG